rnacentral:rRNA from 1 species
ACGUAGGGUGCGAGCGUUAAUCGGAAUUACUGGGCGUAAAGCGUGCGCAGGCGGUUCGGAAAGAAAGAUGUGAAAUCCCAGGGCUUAACCUUGGAACUGCAUUUUUAACUACCGGGCUAGAGUGUGUCAGAGGGGGGUGGAAUUCCGCGUGUAGCAGUGAAAUGCGUAGAGAUGCGGAGGAACACCGAUGGCGAAGGCAGCCCCCUGGGUCGACACUGACGCUCAGGCACGAAAGCGUGGGGAGCAAACAGGA